UGCUCCUCCGGCGGCCGUGGUCGCCGGCCAUCGGCCCUCUCCUCCUUGCUCAUAGCUUCUUCCUCUCCAUCUUCUCCAACCUCCAUUAUUAGAUUUCAAUGUUCAAGCUUUGUUUCCCCAAACUCAUUUCUUGCAAUUUAAGGGGUGGCGCAUCCAAGGCUCGAGGAUGGACAACCUAAACCAAGCUUCAGGAGGUUAUUUCGAAUUUCUGCUUUCGAGGAGUCGAUGACGGGGCAGCUUUCAACGUGGUCCACAAUCUCCCAGCCGCUAUGUUUGACUAGUAGACCCUUUGGUAUUUGGGUAAAAGUGAAUUGUUUGGAGAGUAAACUUGAUAACUUUUAUGCUACUAUAUUUUGAAUGAUGUAGGUUUCAAUCCGAUUAAGCAGGAUAUUUUAUUUUGGUUGGAAUACUGGAUGAAGUAUCUAUAUUUUUAACAUAGUGAUACAUUUUGGUGUAGAUAUCUAUAUACACAUGUUUCAGAUGUUGGAAAAAUAUUCUUAUUAGUGUUCUUUAAAUUGUUUUAUAUAUAUAUAAAAAAAAAUAUGUCAAUGAUGAUUUUCCUUUUAAGUUUAUAAAAUUGUUUCCGUUUUUCUUAUUUCCAUUUAAAUUCUGAAUUUUAAAAAUAAAAUAAAUUAGCAUUUUAGUAUUUUGGUAGCGUCACCCGUUUUAAAGAGUUCGGGGCGUUACAGAAUGGUAUCAGAGCGGGUCUACGUUCCUGUAGACUUGCUUAUUAUUUUAAUUAGAAGUCUAAAACUCAAGUGAGAUUCUUAUGUUUUAAAUGAUACGGGCGAGCACGUGGAUCCUGACUGCUGCCAGUUGCCGACUUUGAGGUUGUCCGACUAAGACCGAGGAUGCGCCCUAGCAAAUUUAUUAAGGGGUGGCGCAUCCAAGGCUCGAGGAUGGACAACCUAAACCAAGCUUCAGGAGGUUAUUUCGAAUUUCUGCUUUCGAGGAGUCGAUGACGGGGCAGCUUUCAACGUGGUCCACAAUCUCCCAGCCGCUAUGUUUGACUAGUAGACCCUUUGGUAUUUGGGUAAAAGUGAAUUGUUUGGAGAGUAAACUUGAUAACUUUUAUGCUACUAUAUUUUGAAUGAUGUAGGUUUCAAUCCGAUUAAGCAGGAUAUUUUAUUUUGGUUGGAA